UUUUCUCGCGGAGCGAAGCUGAACUGAGAAAGCUCGGCGGGGUCAAGGUCGCAUCCCUCAGUAAUGUGACCGAGCGCGCUUCUCCAUUCAAACCUGCGUGUGCCGCAGCGAGGGAUGAAGAGAAGAGCGGUCAGCGGAAAAGCACGAGGACCGUGGUGAGCACAAGGUAAGCACGUGAAACGGAGCGCUGCGGCUGCGUGUGAAAGGUGCAGAGACCACUGUCCGGCUUCGUGUCCGGUCUCAGGGUCGCAGUCAGCAGGACAGACCCAGGACAGUCGAGCCCGAAUCCUAAAGAUGGUCUGCCCAGCUCUUGACUGACUGGCGAAGAAGCAUGUGAUUGAGGCUGUGAACUCCUGACCAGUAUUAGGACCAUAAAGUAAGCCAUGAGCUUGUCACCAUGCCAAGCAUUUACAAAUCCCAUUUAAUAAUCAGAGACUCCAAUCAUAACAGACUCCCUAAUAAACUGAUAAAGCUAUAUUACAACUGAGGGUCAUGUGUACCUCACCUCCUUCACCGCUGGAGAACCUAACAAGAAUUCCUGAAGAACGCUUUAUUAAAAAAACGUAAUAAAAGUGCUGGUUUAUUAAAUGAAGACUAACCAGGUCUGUCCCAAUAACGCAGCAGGACGUUUUCCAUUUAUAGGUUAAAUCUGAUUACUUUCGCCAUGAUAUCACUUGACAUGGACGUGAAAAUCACCUGUGACUGGAUGACCCAUUUAUUACGCGCUAAUGAAAGACAAGCACUACCCAACAGUCUAAACACAGGCUGAAAUAAUGGGAACCAACGCAGCGACACAAAAAAAGCACAGCUCUGUUGUUUCUCCGGACAGCCUGUUUGCCCCAAACCCAUUUAAAGAAAGCAAGUUCUUGGGCGGGACAGAGGAUUUCAUAGUGAGCAACACCUCUUUUAAAGAGCAAUUAACUCUAAUUAGACGUGUAAAGAAAACGCGCUGCUCUUCAGCGCUCCUUCAUCGGGGAAUCGUUUUCUGCGCCAUUUAAACGUCUGGCUUUUUUUUUACGAGCUCCUGGAAACGGGAUGGCCAUGCAAGUACGCAUUUUGAGGCUUUUCUUUCUCUGCAGCUUCAGGGAGGAAUGGUAGCCCAGAACACAGAGGGUUCUCUGGGUAACAUCCGCUCUGGGCCUUAAUGUCCAGGGGCACAAUUACACCCCCCCUCCCUCCCCACCCCACUUAUCUGUAGUGUGUAGAGAUGGGAUCUCUACGGGAUGAGGAGGUGUGACUGUGAACAUCU